CGCGUUGAAUACGUUCCCGGGCCUUGUACACACCGCCCGUCACACCAUGGGAGUCGGAAGGACCCAAGGCCCACAAGGUCUCAAGGUCAGGCCGAUGACUGGGGUG
rnacentral:rRNA from 1 species